AAGUCGUAACAAGGUUUCCGUAGGUGAACCUGCGGAAGGAUCAUUAACACGUAUCCAACGUUAAAACAACCCCCGUGAACUUUCAGCUUGCUCCUGUAGCCCGUGAAAACAGCAAUCCCUGGUAAAUCAUUGUUGACCAGCUUUUGAGUCAGGGACCUCUGCCGAUUGUGAUAUUUUAUAGCUACGGUUGAGCGAUUGCAUCUAGUGACCUGGCAUCCCCAAGUAAUCAGUGUCUGAAAGUGUCAUUGAUUAUGUAAGGCGGCCGGCGACCGGGUCACCGGGCUGCCCCUUUACGACAACACAGUACGAAUUGGCCCCGCGUGAAAUUCGCACGGCACCAAAAACCGAACAACUGUUAACAAUGGAUAUCUUGGUUCUC
rnacentral:misc_RNA from 1 species